UACGUAGGGGGCAAGCGUUGUCCGGAAUCAUUGGGCGUAAAGCGCGUGUAGGCGGCCAGAAAAGUCCGCUGUGAAAACUCGAGGCUCAACUUCGAGCUGUCGGUGGAAACUUUCUGGCUAGAGUCCGGAAGAGGAGAAUCGAAUUCCUGGUGUAGCGGUGAAAUGCGCAGAUAUCAGGAAGAACACCCGUGGCGAAGGCGGUUCUCUGGGACGGUACUGACGCUGAGACGCGAAAGCGUGGGGAGCGAACAGG
rnacentral:rRNA from 1 species